CCGAAUCGUGUGGAACUGUAAGUCAGUUAAAUCUCUCUUCUUUGUAAAUUACUCAAUCUCAGGUAGUAUCUUUAUAGCAGUAUGGGAACGGACUAAUACAGCAUGUGUUCCUUAAAGGCCAUCUAUUGUACUAUUCUCAUUUAAUGUAAGAAGGAGUUAAGGCUACAAGAGUCAGACUUGUUUUUCCAAUAUCACAAAGAGCAGACCCCAUAUCAACAUCCCUGUACUUAUGUACUAUUUUCUGCCCCAUCAUUGGUUAUUUCUGAGGAGCUCCUGAAAAGCCUUGAUGUGAGCAACAAGUCUGAGAGAUAAUCAGGGGCUUCAGUGACUGCAAGGUUGCCCCAAUCUCCAUUCUCCUCUGCAGUGACAUAACAAUUCUGAGUGUUUAAAAGCAGCACAAGGACACAUGUCCCAGUUUUCCUUGAUGCUGGAUGACAUCGUAUGACCAGGUUCUGAUCAGUGGAAGGCUAGAAUGCUGAUGUGGAUGGGAACCAGUAAGACCACAAAGAAUGAGGACUCCGCUCUAUGGACUGGGAAGCAGCAGUUUUUGGAGUCUUAAUGUAUGAUGCCUUGAAGCCUCCAACUUAUGUCUAAGAUACACUCAUUUCUGGGCAUUACAGAAUAACUUUGAAAGCAAGCAAAGCAAUGAAACUUGGGUUAAUAGCAGUUUAGCUCUGGGAAGCAACGCCUGCAUGUCUCUUUGCUCCAUAAUGAAUAUCAGAGGCAGCAUUGUCUCCAUGACAGAAGAUUUGAAUGGUUGAAAUAGAGGAGAAGCCAUGGAGAAACAGAUCAGUAGGGAGAAAAGUCUGUUUGACCCCAUUUGGAACUCCUACAAUCAGGUUUGCCAGCACUCAGUUUCCAGAAGGAAGCUUCAUGUCUCCUGACUUUUCCUCAAGCAAGCUAAUGACUCCCUGCAUGUAGCAUCCUGAUAUGGUUUGGCUUGUCCCCAAUUCAAGAUGUGUCCCUCAUCUUGAAUUGUAGCUCCCAUAGCCCCCACAUGUCAGGGGAGGGACCCAGUGGGAGGUAUUGAAUCAUGGAUUGGGUCUUCCCUGUGCUGUUCUCAUGAUAGUGAAUAACUCUCACAAGAUCUGAUGGUUUUAUAAAGGGCCAUUCUCCUGCACAUGCUCUCUUGCCUGUUGCCAUGUAAGAUAUGCCUUUGCUCCUCCUUCAUGAUUGUGAGGCCUGUUAAACUAUGAGUUCAUUAAACUUUUUCUUUAUGUAUUAUCCAGUUUCAGGUAUGACUUUGUUAGUAGUAUGAGACCAGACUAAUACACACCCCAAGAUGAAAACACAGGAAUGUGAAUUUAUAGCAAAAACCCAUAACUGACUUUGGAAAGAAGACAAUUCUUGAUAUAUACCCUUACCUUUGCUCAUUCUUCUAUCCAGAAGUAGGCCGCCAUCCUGUGCUAAAGUAGAAGAGCCUUUCUGGGAUUUAAUGACUCCAGAGGACCCUUCUGUGUCCUGUAAUUCCAGAGAUGCCUUCAGGAGCUGGAGGGAAAGUUGGUGACCAAGCCAGGCUUAUCAAGAUACUGAACAGCCCUGUGUUUUCCUUUACAGGGAAUGGGUGCAAAUUGGAGACCACAGACAGCUAAGGCAUAAUCCCUAGUUGAGGUGUUUCUUGGCCUCUGUCAUAUUUUUACUCACAUAUCAGCCUCUCCCAUCCCAUUUCAUCUGAUCCACCUCUUUGUUAGUAAUUGUUGUUCUAGAGCACUUAAUUGCCAACUGUGAGCUUAGGUAUCAGUGUCAAGCAAUGUAAGCUUGUGAUGUGAGUCUUUAACCAAAAUAAUAAUGUAUACCAUAGAGUUAUCUAAGUCUCAUAAUGG